ensembl:lncRNA
UUGAAGAUUUCUGUUCAGAGCAUCACCUGAUGCAGAGAUCCCCUAGUGCUCUGAAUGUUUGCUGAAGACACACAAGUGCAGAUGUAGGUCUUUAGGCAGCUCUUCCGGAGUGUCUCUCUAGAGCCUUUCAUUUCCCUUUGGAGAUCUCAGAAGUCAUCAUGUUUUGUGUCUGUGAGCUCUUCACCUGCCUCAGAUCUUCAGGAUCAGAAAGGAACCGGUGGUCACAGUCCUGAACAUUCAACUAUGACUGUCCUGCCUAUAAUUUGUCCUCUCUAAGCUCCUCCCAAGAUCAAGCCCUGAGCAAAUGAUAAAGCCCAUCAGUCUCUGCGGUGGAUGUACGAAGGUUUAUGCUGCACGAUUCACAUGGAAGAGGAGAGAAGAUGAACAUGAUGCACCAUAAAAGUUGUGAACUGAAAAUGAAAACAAGACAGAAUAGAAGAGUCUGAAUUGAAGAAAACCCAGAGAUCAAUACCAUAGCGUAAUAUAACAGUGUUCAUAGAAAUAAAAACUCUUGGAACAGAAAUUAUUUAUUACUCCAGAGCAGCAUAAUUUAAAUAUGUGAAAAUAGAGCAACAUUGAAGGGGAAGAUUAGAGCCAAAUUAUGUGUCCAGAUCUGUUUAGGGGAGAAUAUUUUUGUUCCCCAGGCUGGUUGGCCAUAACUUGACAAGAUCAGGUUUGAUGAAGGUUUGUAAGGUAUCAAAAGUGAUACUAAGAGAUGUUUGUCAUGUACUUUCUGUACGUCUUAAUUUUUCUUUCUCACCUCUGGCUAUCUACAGUAACUCCCUUGAAGUUUAGGAAUACAACAUUUCCCUGCUGAGAUUAUCCUCUCCCAGACAGUACAUACAAUUUAUCCUGUUUUACCUCAUCCCUGCUAUGUCACAUUCAUUACAUCAGAGCCUAGACUGUCUCUAACUUUUUGUUUCUUCCUUUCGAAUGCAGGACUAUUACUGAAGACGUCAGUGGAGACACAGCAAGAUAUGGAAAAAGCCCAACAGAGUAGAAUAUCCCCAAAUGGGAGAACAGCGAAAAGCAGGAAGUUAUUCUCAGAAAAAAUGCUUUGUUCAUUCAGAGAACUGUGCUGCAUUAUUGGUUUUGUCAUGGACUUUGUUGGCUCUUGACCACCUAAUCAUUUAGUGCCUCUACUUCCUCCUUAAAGUAGGAUUAUUCUUAGUAAUGGUGGUUAUUUAUAGCAGUGCUGGAGUCUGAAAAGAGUAAUUUUUUCUGCUACUGCAACUGAAGAUUCUACACAGAGGGCUACUACCUUCCUUCCUGGUUUUCAACUGGCGCUCCCAUCUCCUUCAUAAAAGAAGGAUGUGAACAGAAGAGACUAGAGAUAUUUGAAUGGCAUCAAGAGCAACUUUCUGUAGAAUUUUUGAGUUCCUAAAUGAUUUGAUACAGGCUGCAAACACAGGCCUUUCAGGAUCGUUGUCAGCAAACACCAACAAGACAGAGACUUAAUUGUAUAUUCACCCACAGAAAAUUAGUUUGAAGAUUCUGUGUCCUUUCAUCUGGUGAAGGCACGGUCAGUGUUUAAGAAAGACAAGCCCUUGCACUUUGCCUGGAGUAGGUGCCUGGUGAAGAGUAUAUGAAGCUUAAAGACACCUAUUGGAAGAGGUCAGACACGCUCCAUGUUGGCUGAGUCUUGGGCAUUUCACGGUGUCAGAAUUCUGGCUCAAGCGAAGUUCUGGUUGUGUUUUGUUAAGUUGAAGACACAGUUGUCUCAGAAUACGUUGUGUUGUUACAUACUUGAGAACUGAAAAUCCUGGUUGGAUUCAGACCUGAUCUAGACAAGCAGCUCCUCUCUUCAGAAAGACCUAAAUCCAGACACUUGAUCUAAACAUGCCUGACCUGGAAAAAAGUUUACAUGCUCAUGCGGACAUGGAUGUGUGCUCAUAGCUUUCCUAGUGUGCAGAAGAUGUGUGGGAGAACAAAGAAAAGAACGUAUCAGUCCUGCAUUUCACAGCUGAGGAAAUCCAAAUCUGAAGUCUGAAGAAUAUUAUUGAUGUGACACAUCAGACAAAUCAUAAACAUUUUCUACCCUUUACUUCCUAACUCUAUCUCAUCUUAAUGAGGACUUAAGUGAUUUUUUUACAGUGCUAAAGGAUUGGAAUUUGCUGGAGGAAUGGAAAUUGCUUGUAUAAACUGCAAUGGGUUUUGAUUUAUCUAUGUUAUCUAGUGUUAUAUGUGCAGUUUCUAUGUGCUUUGUGUUCAUGUUCUGUUACUUCAAUUUUAGCUGUAUCUCCACCAAGAACUUGAUAUCUCAAUAAGUUCAGAUAUCCUAGGAUCUGUGAACCCCAAAAUAAGCAGACGUUGCAGAGA